GGCGGCGCACAUAAGACAUGCAAGUCGAACGGAAGUCGUUAUAUUGAUUUGAAGAGAACGGGAACUGUCAAAGGGACAUGAUGAAGAUUAUAACAAUGGCUUAGUGGCGGACUGGUGAGUAAUACGUAAGCAACCUGCCUAUUAGAGGGGAACAACAGUUAGAAAUGACUGCUAAUACCGCAUAUGCCAUAAGUAUCGCAUGAUACAAGUGGGAAAGGAGCAAUCCGCUAAUAGAUGGGCUUACGGCUGAUUAGCUAGUUGGUGUGGUAACGGCAUACCAAGGCGACGAUCAGUAGCCGGACUGAGAGGUUCAACGGCCACAUUGGGACUGAGAUACGGCCCAGACUCCUACGGGAGGCAGCAGUCGGGAAUUUUGCGCAAUGGAGGAAACUCUGACGCAGUGACGCCGCGUGCAGGAAGAAGGUUUUCGGAUUGUAAACUGCUUUAGACAGGGAAGAAAAAGGACAGUACCUGUAGAAUAAGCUCCGGCUAACUACGUGCCAGCAGCCGC
rnacentral:rRNA from 1 species